UUUGAAGAAUUUUCUUUUACUACCCUAGUUAACAGUAACUCAUAAUAGCAGGGUAUCUAAUCCUGGUU
rnacentral:tRNA from 1 species